CCGCGGCGGCCGGAGCCCUCUUGGGACCCAUGGUCGCCCUCAGUCAGCGGGACUGCUCCCGGGACCGCGACGGGGCGGGGCGGGGCGCUCCAGCGUUGUUUGAGCCCAGGCGCGGAAGGGAAAAGGCCUCUGAGAUGCUCGCGUGUUUUGCCUGGGCGCGGUGGCGCACGCCUGUAAUCCCAGCACUUUGGGAGGCCGAGGCGGGCGGAUCUCCUGAGGUCAGGAGUUCGAGACCAGCGUGGCCAACAUGGUCAAACCGCGUUUCUACUAAAAACUACAAAAAUUAGCCGGGCGUGGUGGCAGGCGCCUUAGUCCCAGCUACUUGGGAGGCAGAGGCAGGAGAAUCGUUUGAACCCGGGAGGCGGAGGUUGCAGUGAGCCCAGAUUAAGCCAUUGCACUCAAACCUGGGGGACAAGAGCGAGACUUCUCUCAAAAAAAAAAAAAAAGUUUUUUUUUCUUUUCUUUUUUUUUUUUUUUUGAGACAGUCUCACUCUGUCGCCCAGGCUGGAGUGCAGUGGCGGGAUCUCGGCUCACUGCAGCCUAUGUCCCUUGACAGUCCACGGGUUAAAGAGAUUCUCCUGCCUCAGCCUCCCCAGUAGCUGGAUUACAGGCCCCGCCACCAAGGCUGGCUAACUUUUGUGUUUUUAGUAGAGAGGGGGUUUCACCGUGUUGGCCAGGCUGGUCUCGAACUCCUGACCUCAAAUGACCCACCUCUGCCUCCCAAAGUGCUGGGAUUCCAGGCGUGAGCCACCGCGCCGGGACCCAAGGCCCUUAAGUUUUAAGGCCUCAUUCUUCAGUCAGGUUUUCCCUGUUCCCGCGUGUUCGGCCAAUUUUUUGUUGUUGUUGUUUUGUUUUUGUUUUUGUUUUUGAGUCAAUUUUCCAGACAUCUUUAAUUAGCAAUAUGUUUAAGUAGUUACAAGCCUUUCCUUCUUUUCUUGUGACAGUUUGGGUUGAAUUUCUAUCGUUUGCAGCCUGUCACUGUAAGGCACAAACAUGAUCACGCAAGAUGCGAUAGUAGAUUUAAGCCAGUUGUUUUUAAGUUUGUGUUUAAGGAGAAACUAACAAUGAAAACGGCCUCGUUGACGGAGGAAAAGUUGGAAUGCAGCCUCUGGUGCUGUUUGAGCGAUCCCUCUCCCCGGGGCCUGGCCGCGCGCUGCUGUGUUCUGGAAGGGCUCAUUGUACAGUCAAGGCGGCAGGGCCUUCUUCUGUCACCCAUGCUGGAGUGCAGUAGCAUGAUCACAGCUCACGGUAGCCUCCACCUUCUGGGCUCAAUCCUCCUACCUCAGCCUUCCAAGUAGCUGGGACUACAGGUAUGCAACCACCAUGUCCAGCUAAAUUUUGUACUUUUUGUAGAGAUGGAGUUUCACCAUGUUGGCCAGACUGGUCUCAAACUCCUGACCUCAAGUGAUCCACCUGCCUCGGCUUCCCAAAGUGCUGGGGUCACAGGCGUGAGACACCAUGCCCAGCCUGCCCUUCCUUUUUAAACCUUUCCUGUGCAUAGUGAAGAAUACCAUGACUAGUUUGGUGUUACUGCCUUUGUUUGUGCUGAAGUACCAGCAUUUUUACCCACUAUUGUAUUUGCACCGUUACAGCAAAUGUCACCAUGUUAGUAUUCACGUUAAAAUAGUUUGGACCUGGGCGUCUGAGGGCCCCACUUUGGGAACCGUUGAAAUAGGUACUUAAACCUACUAUAUAUCAUAUCUUGUCAUCUACAAGAUUUUUAAAAACAUGAUUUCAGUUAAUUUUUUUUGUAAUUUUUACAAUAUGGUUUUGAGGGGUUUCAGUCCAGAGCAACAACAUGUAUUUUAUUUAGCUUAUGCUGAAGUUUACUAGAUAAAUACUAACCUAAUAGAAUGAGGUCCUAAAUCUUUUUUUGCAGUUUCUUUAGCC
rnacentral:lncRNA from 10 species